rnacentral:rRNA from 1 species
GACGAACCGUGCGAACGUUGUUCGGAAUCACUGGGCUUAAAGGGAGCGUAGGCGGGCUAUCAAGUCUGGGGUGAAAUGCCGCGGCUCAACCGUGGAACUGCCUCAGAUACUGACGGCCUCGAGGGAGAUAGGGGCAUGCGGAACAUUGGGUGGAGCGGUGAAAUGCGUUGAUAUCCAAUGGAACUCCGGUGGCGAAAGCGGCGUGCUGGAUCUCUUCUGACGCUGAGGCUCGAAAGCUAGGGGAGCAAAC